CGUGUAGGCGGCUAUACAGGUCCGUUGUGAAAACUCGAGGCUCAACCUCGAGACGUCGAUGGAAACCGUAUGGCUAGAGUCCGGAAGAGGAGAGCGGAAUUCCUGGUGUAGCGGUGAAAUGCGCAGAUAUCAGGAAGAACACCCGUGGCGAAGGCGGCUCUCUGGGACGGUACUGACGCUGAGACGCGAAAGCGUGGGAGCGAACA
rnacentral:rRNA from 1 species